UUUGGCCAAACAACUCAACAAAAGAGUAAGCUAAACAUUUCUGAUGGAUCAAGUGUGUCCUCCUUGAAAAAGUAGAUGGCCAUGCUCAAGUAAUAGAAAUGGAGAAUCCCAACGUCAAAGCACAAAAGAUUCAAGUUGGGAGUCCAAGAAUUUUAAAUUUCAAUCCUUCACGAGUUUGGGUUGAUGUCGAUGAUGAUAUAGUUGUUUUGGUUCCUAUGGUCGGUUAAAAAUAUAUACAUGUAUUAAUAUAAAAUAUAUGAAAUUACUAAUAGGGUAGUAUCCAA